rnacentral:rRNA from 1 species
CCUACGGGCGGCAGCAGUGGGGAAUAUUGGACAAUGGGCGAAAGCCUGAUCCAGCCAUGCCGCGUGUGUGAAGAAGGUCUUCGGAUUGUACAGCACUUUAAGUUGGGAGGAAGGUCAGUAAGUUAAUCCCUUUCUGUUUUGACGUUACCAACAGAAUACGCACCGGCUAACUUCGUGCCAGCAGCCGCGGUAAUACGAAGGGUGCAAGCGUUAAUCGGAAUUACUGGGCGUAAAGCGCGCGUAGGUGGUUCAGCAAGUUGGAUGUGAAAUCCCCGGGCUCAACCUUGGAACUGCAUACAAAACUACUGAGCUAGAGUACGAUAGAGGUUUGUGGAAUUUCCUGUGUAGCGGUGAAAUGCGUAGAUAGAGGAAAGAACACCAGUGGCGAAGGCGACCACCGGGACUGAUACUGACACUGAGGUGCGAAAGCGUGGGGAGCAAACAGGAUUAGAUACCCGGGUAGUC